rnacentral:rRNA from 1 species
UACCAUGGUUUUAACGGGUAACGGGGAAUUAGGGUUCGAUUCCGGAGAGGGAGCCUAAGAAACGGCUACCACAUCCAAGGAUGGCAGCAGGCGCGCAAAUUACCCAAUCCCGACACGGGGAGGUAGUGACAAUAAAUAACAAUACGGGGUUCUUUAGGAUCUCGUAAUUGGAAUGAGUACAAUUUAAAUCUCUUAACGAGGAACAAUUGGAGGGCAAGUCUGGUGCCAGCAGCCGCGGUAAUUCCAGCUCCAAUAGCGUAUAUUAAAGUUGUUGCAGUUAAAAAGCUCGUAGUUGAAUUUCGGGGUCAGUAGGUCGGUCGUGCCACUGGUAUGAACUGGUUUUACUGAUUCCUCCCUCUUGAAGAACUGUAAUGCCAUUAAUUUGGUGUUGCAGGGAAUCAGGACUGUUACUUUGAAAAAAUUAGAGUGUUUAAAGCAGGCUUUAGCUUGAAUACAUUAGCAUGGAAUAAUGAAAUAGGACGUUUGAUCCUAUUUUGUUGGUUUCUAGGAUUGACGUAAUGAUUAAUAGGGAUAGUUGGGGGCAUUAGUAUUCAAUUGUCAGAGGUGAAAUUCUUGGAUUUAUUGAAGACUAACUACUGCGAAAGCAUUGGCCAAGGAUGUUUUCAUUAAUCAAGAACGAAAGUUAGGGGAUCGAAGACGAUCAGAUACCGUCGUAGUCUUAACCAUAAACUAUGCCGACUAGGGAUCGGAUGGUGUUAAUUUUUUAAUGACUCAUUCGGCGCCUUACGGGAAACCAAAGUGUUU